rnacentral:rRNA from 1 species
AACCUCCGCAAUGUGAGAAAUCGCGACGGGGGGAUCCCAAGUGCCAUUCUUAACGGGAUGGCUUUUCUUAAGUGUAAAAAGCUUUUGGAAUAAGAGCUGGGCAAGACCGGUGCCAGCCGCCGCGGUAACACCGGCAGCUCUAGUGGUAGCUGUUUUUAUUGGGCCUAAAGCGUUCGUAGCCGGUUUGAUAAGUCACUGGUGAAAUCCUGUAGCUUAACUGUGGGAAUUGCUGGAGAUACUAUUAGACUUGAGACCGGGAGAGGUUAGAGGUACUCCCAGGGUAGAGGUGAAAUUCUGUAAUCCUGGGAGGACCGCCUGUUGCGAAGGCGUCUAACUGGAACGGUUCUGACGGUGAGGGACGAAAGUUAGGGCGCGAACCGGAUUAGAUACCCGGGUAGUCCUAACUGUAAACGAUGCGGACUUGGUGUUGGGGUGGCUUUGAGCUGCUCCAGUGCGAAGGGAAGCUGUUAAGUCCGCCGCCUGGGAAGUACGGUCGCAAGACUGAAACUUAAAGGAAAU